rnacentral:tRNA from 1 species
GGGGAUUUAGCUCAAUGGUAGAGCGUUUGCCUAGCAAGUGCAAGGCCCUGGGUUCGGUCCCCAGCUCCA